rnacentral:rRNA from 1 species
GUUAUCGUUUAUUUGAUAGUACCUUACUACUUGGAUAACCGUGGUAAUUCUAGAGCUAAUACAUGCUAAAAACCCCGACUUCGGAAGGGGUGUAUUUAUUAGAUAAAAAACCAAUGCCCUUCGGGGCUCCUUGGUGAUUCAUAAUAACUUAACGAAUCGCAUGGCCUUGUGCCGGCGAUGGUUCAUUCAAAUUUCUGCCCUAUCAACUUUCGAUGGUAUGGUAUUGGCUUACCAUGGUUUCAACGGGUAACGGGGAAUUAGGGUUCGAUUCCGGAGAGGGAGCCUGAGAAACGGCUACCACAUCCAAGGAAGGCAGCAGGCGCGCAAAUUACCCAAUCCCGACACGGGGAGGUAGUGACAAUAAAUACUGAUACAGGGCUCUUUUGGGUCUUGUAAUUGGAAUGAGUACAAUUUAAAUCCCUUAACGAGGAACAAUUGGAGGGCAAGUCUGGUGCCAGCAGCCGCGGUAAUUCCAGCUCCAAUAGCGUAUAUUAAAGUUGUUGCAGUUAAAAAGCUCGUAGUUGAACCUUGG